AGUUAGUGGGAAUCCGCAGGUGUCGGUUGCACACCACCGACAGGAUAACCAGCAGGUUGCCCACUAUAGCGAACGUGAUGAAUGAGGCCAGCACCAUGCCCACCGGCACCGCCCGGCUCAGGUCCAGCGGGGCGGCGCUGUGUUUUCCGCGGUACGGGGACGAGUCGGUGCAGUUCGAGGUAGAGUUGGAGUCCAGGUGAGACGCCUGCUGCAUUCCGGCGAGAGAAUCCGCCGUGGAGCCGUUUGUCCACAGGCUCAUGGUGCAUUGAGCCCCGCCCGGCCGUUUGUCUUCCGCCGUCCCAGCUGGAGCUGAGUUAUGUUGGCGAGGAGCGGCCGCUCGGGCAGCUGGUGGGAGUUUGACUGCUGAUGGAUGGAAGCUGAGGACGAGAGCGAACGAGGCGAAGAGAGGAGUUUUUCUGCACAAAAUUGUUUUGGCUGCCGAGUGGAUUGUGAUGACCACUUCCAUAAAAGCGCUGCAGAGGAAUGAUCCAUGGCGACCGAGGUCACUCCAGUUUAGCCCUGAAGGGACAGGUCAACGUGAUGUCAUGAGAUGGCACAUAAAUAGAACGGCAAUGUUAAGCGGCCAAUGUGUGCUGUCUAUUUAUGUAAUUGUACUGACAACACAGCCUGGUAGAAUUAAAAACUUGUCGAUAAAGAA